UUGCCUUUAGUCUUUCCAGUGGGAUUGUGGCACCAGUGUGAGAAGUUCCUGUAUUCAUCUUGGGAUUUCAGCAGUAACACAUCCCAUCUCCAGUGGCUAGUCAGAUGGAGCCAACCCCCACAAGCAGAGAGAGGAGAGUAUGCAGCAGCAGCUGAAGAUGCAAGGUGUGCUUGGGUGACCCAAGGUCAAGAAGGAAAGUUGCUGGUUAAAUAAGGGGAAGAGGAAAAACUGGGCAUCCGUGGCUUUGCAGAGAAGGCAGGGGAACAAAUCAAGGAAAGGGGUUCCUUUCAGUCCUGCAAAUUCAGUCCUGCU